AUGACCGGCGAGGAGAUGCGAUUCCUCGAGCUGCUCACCGCCUUUGGCUUGGACAUCGAGGCGGUGGCCGCCGCUCUGGGAGUCGAUAUGCACACGCUCAACA
ensembl:ncRNA mir-4941 mir-4941 stem loop